GACGAACGCUGGCGGCGUGCUUAACACAUGCAAGUCGAACGGAAAGGCCCUGCUUUUGUGGGGUGCUCGAGUGGCGAACGGGUGAGUAACACGUGAGUAACCUGCCCUUGACUUUGAGAUAACUUCAGGAAACUGGGGCUAAUACCGGAUAGGAGCUCCUGCUGCAUGGUGGGGGUUGGAAAGUUUCGGCGGUUGGGGAUGGACUCGCGGCUUAUCAGCUUGUUGGUGGGGUAGUGGCUUACCAAGGCUUUGACGGGUAGCCGGCCUGAGAGGGUGACCGGCCACAUGGGGACUGAGAUACGGCCCAGACUCCUACGGGAGGCAGCAGUGGGGAAUAUUGCACAAUGGGCGGAAGCCUGAUGCAGCAACGCCGCGUGCGGGAUGACGGCCUUCGGGUUGUAAACCGCUUUCGCCUGUGACGAAGCGUGAGUGACGGUAAUGGGUAAAGAAGCACCGGCUAACUACGU
rnacentral:rRNA from 1 species